UGAAUUCUAAGGCAUUCUGCGGCCUGUUAUAUUCUUGAAAAGGACCGUUGAUAAGUAUAACACACCGUUGCCACGCAUAGCAGAGCGUUGCCAUGGACACAGUUCUGUUCACUCUGGAGGACAGCUAUCAAUCAAUCCGCUGAAAGAAGUCCUGGUAAUUUAUCAGCUGUGGCAAAAAGGACGCAUGUUUUAAAAGUGUAA